UAUAGCCACCCUAUUAUGCAAUCAAAUAGUAGAUCUUAUUCAUUCUAUUUUUUUUGGUACCCAUUAACCAUUCCCAACCCACUCCAGCCCCCUACACUACCCUUCCCAGCCUCUGGUAACCAUCCUUCUCCCUAUGUCCAUGAGAAGAACAAUUAUUUGACAUCAAGGAAGAUAGAAAAUAACUAAGCUAAUCUUAGCAAAAACCUUUAUAGGAUUGCUGAAUGAAACUAAAAAACGAGUCUAUGGCUUAGUGUCAGAGCCAGUCAUACACUUCUUUCACUGGGAUCUAGGCUUCUUUGCAAGGAAUGUUUCUCCCCUACGACAGCCACUAAACUAGGCAUCUAAAUAAAUUGGAAUUAGACUCAGACCUUUACUUUAGCACAAAGUGUUAUAUCAGAUUUCCAAAAUGAACACAUCAUUCUUUAACCAUAUCACUCUCCUAGAAAUGACAGUAAUAUUCUUCACUCUUUGGAAAAAUCCUGUUUAACAAAUACUUUGUAAUACAAUAAUUAGAAGGCUGGCAUUAAGGUUGAUUUAUUUUUAAAAAAUACUUUAUCCAUAGCUCAAUUUUCUUUCAAAAUGUCUAUUUUUUUCUCAUUGUUAGGACAUAUCUCAAAAGAAGACAUGUAGUGUGUUUAUUUAUUUGUUUACUUGUUUUUUAUUUUUAAGAGAAGGGGUUUCACUCUUUCAUCCAGACUGGAGUAUAGUGGCACUAUCAUAGAUCACUGUAAUUUCAAACUCCUGGAUUCCAGCAAUCCUCUUACCACAGCCUCCCAAGUAGCUGGGACUACAGGUGAGUGCCACCAUACUCAGCUAAUUUUUAAAUUUUUUGUAGAGAUGGGAUCUUGUUAUGUUGCCCAGGCUGUUCUUGAACUCCUGGCCUCAAGCGAUCCUCCCACCUUGGCCUUUCAAAGCUCUGGGGUUACAUGUAUAAGGCAUGUUCAGCUUCAAAAUGUAUUUAUUUAUUUAAUAGUUAAUUGAAAAUUCUUGUGGCUUCCCAUCACACUCAGAAUAAAUUCCUGUUCUUUAAAAUCCUAUGUAACCUGGCCUCUGCCCACCUUCAGCCUUAUCUCUUUCCAGCCUUUAUCUCCCUGCACUGGUCUUCCUUCCAAGCACACCAAGCUCAUCUCUUUUUGGGCCUUCCCACUUCCUCCUUUCCAAAGCUCUGCUUCCCGAUCUUUGCAUGAUUGCCUCUUCCUUUCAUUCAGGCCUGCCUCUUCCUUUCAUUCAGGCCUACAUUUAAAUUUGAUCACCCACAUAGGCCAAACCUAAUCACUACAGGGUCCAAGGGAAAAUUUUCUCCUCAGCCUCUAACAACUCCACUUGCUGAAAAUCAGCAGAAAAAGACAGAUGAAUAGGAGAAAAGACAUAUGCGUGGGGGAGAAUCACAGUGAUUAACACACUCUACAAUGGGGUAUGGAUGGUUAUAUACCCUUUCUCUUAGGGGAAAGGGAGGUAGGGAAGUGAGAAUGAUUUUAGGGGAGUGGUAAAUGAUUUUUAGGGGAAGUCAACAGGAUUGAAAAAUAUACAAUGGCCUGGGACAAAGUCUGUUGGGCCUGCAGAACAGACAAUGGUGUGUGACAAAUCUGUCCAGGUGUGUUGACAGACUUCAGUCUUUCUUCCAGCCAUAUGAGUUCAGUUAAAGAAAACUCAGGGAAUGUACCAGAGGUAAAUUGUUUAAAGCAGAUAAGGGAACUUCAGAGAACUACUUCAUCCUUCGCUUUGACAGAGACAACGGAUGAGAGACAGAAGGUGGGGGGAUAGUCAGAGAGACCUUGAGGCUUUGACUUCAGUUCCACAUGUCAAAGCCCCAUAUUUUGGGAUAUCUGUUUCUGAACCCCAACAUCACCUAACCUAAAAAAGCAUCACCACCUUCUUAAAUUAUCUGCAUAGCACUUCUCUGCUAGUGCUUGGUUAAUUUUCCUGGUUUAUGCAUCAUUUGUUUAUCGUCUGAUUUGUCCACUGGAGUGCAAGCUCCAUGAUAGCAAGGACUUUAACUUGUUCAUUCCUCUAACUAGUGCCUAGCCUGUAUUAGAGUUGCAAUAAAUAGUACUGAAUUUAAAAAUGAAGACUCCUUUCUCUCUCUGAGGGUAAUAAUCAGCUGUAUUAUGUCAGAUUCCUGCCAGAUGUAUGACUGUAUUACAUCAGAUUCCUACGAAAAAGCAAGCAAGUAAACUGGAGAAUUGUUCAUGUUCAAGCUAUAGGAAAGUAUCCAGCUCAGAGUAAGCUACUACUUCCAAGAUGACGUCCAUGUUUCACCACCCAGGGCAGGGUGAAGGACUUGGUAAAGGAUGUGAUUAAUUGACUCACCGGCUAUUGAUGCAAAGCAUUGGUUAUAUUGGUAAUAAGUCCAAGGUAACUCUGACUCCACAGAAACACUGCUUAAAGUUACUCAUUUUUAGUUAGUAUGUAUUAAACUAUUCAUGACUUUUAAAAACAAGUUAGAUACUAAUAUGGUGCCAUAAUGAAUAAUAUGUCCAAAUGUUCUUCAAUCACAUAAAAAUUCUCAUUGCCAUCUUGAGUAAAUAUAGCUGAGACGUUCUGAUUUAUAUUAUGUUCUUCUCAGUUGCCGUAGGACUUGUCACAGAUAAUGUCUCAAGAUUUGGCCCGCAAGUCUGAGGUCAUGCCUUCAACACACUAAGCAGCAGUAUUUCCAGGGGGACAGAGAGAAAAAAAAUAGAAGCUCUAAUGUUUUCUUCUUGGACUGUGCCCUUUUGGAGAGACCAUUUGUUUAAAGGAAAGGAAAACAAAGAGGCCAACAAAGACUGACAAGCAGAGGCAUUUCUGAGUCUUGGUUUCUUCUUCAUUGUGUGCUGGGAUAGAGGAAAACUGCCUUCAGGGUAUUAGAGAGAGCAGAAAGAGAGAAAAAUACACAGAAAACACUCAGGAAAUUAGAGAUGCACCCUGUCUCAGAUGGAUUAUCCACAAGGCCAUUGGAGUCAUCAAAAAAUGAAGACAGGCGUGGACAUGGAAGAGAGUGGGCCCGGUAUGAAAGUCAACAGCUAUUGAGAGACAGUGAUCAAGACAGACAGAUGCUAGCCACAGAAGGGCAGCAGAUGGAAAGUUUGAUGACGUGAAUUUUGAAGAACAGUAGGAGUCAGAAGGCCUGGAGACAGCAUUUGGUGAGCAAAGAGGAUUCUCUCCUCCUCCAGGUCCCAGGUAUCUGAAGCUAAAAACAGUCUUACUUUGGAAGUAAAAUGCUGUUAUCAGGAGGCAAAGAGCUUUCCAUUGCAGAUGGACAUCUCCAGCACCUUGUAUAUGCAAUGAGCGCUCAACAAAUGUGUGUUGAGUAAAUGGAAAGAAAGUUAACUGAAUCUAGUAUUUAUAUUUCAGUCACAUGCCACAACCCCAUCACUCUUCUGGAAGAAGUGACAGUCUCUAUCUUACUGACCCAGGAAAUAUGACUCUCAGGAGGAACAAAGAGACUUCCUGGAGCCUUGCUCUUCUGUUGUAACCUCUGGACCUCAUGGUAUAUCAUUCAUAACUCUCUUAUACCCCUAACAUCUGGUGGUUAAAAUGUGAGUCAUGGUACAUUUUAAAACCAAAACAUAACUGCUGUGGUUUGAAUGUGUCUGCUCCAAAAUCCAGUUGUUGCCAGUGUGAUAGUAUUAAGAUGUGGGAUCUUUAAGGGGUGGUUGGACCAUGAAUCAUGAGAACCUCUCCCUAGUGAGUGGGAUUAAAGUUCUUAUACAAGAGGCUUCACGCAGCACUGGGCUCUCUUAUCUUUCAGCCUUCCAUGACGUAAGGACACAGUGUUCCUCCCCUCCAGAGGAUGCAGCCCUCACCAGUUAACCAAAUCUGCUGGUGUCUUGAGCUUGGUCUUCCCAGCCUCCAGAACUGUCAAAAAAUGACUUAUUUUCUUUAUUAAUUACCCAGUCUUUGGUAUUCUGUUAUAGCAGCACAAAUGGACCAAGAUGCAUACCUACCUAUCAGUGAAAUUUCUGGGUCAUUUAAUAACUCUGUUAAAUUUAUAAGGAAUUGCCAAGCUGUUUUCCAAGUGAUUGUAUCAUUCCAUCUCUCUACCAGCAAUA